rnacentral:lncRNA from 1 species
UGUUUCAACGGUCUCGAUCUCAUCUUUUGUCCGUACCAGCAUUCUCGCCCUGCGAUAUAACUAAGGGUGCGGUUUGUAUAGAGUGAGUCUCUAAAUAAUCAAAGUGAAAUGCACCUUUAAAUAGUAUCGAGAAAUGUGAUUUCAAUAUUAGAAAUUUAUUGUUUUUCUCAUGUCCGUGCAUCUUGAUGUUGAGAUGAUCAAUUUAAAGAUAUUUGAACAUCAAAACAACCUAUUUUAAUAAAAUUUUUGAGGUGGGCUCUAAUUUGAUUGUUUAGAGCCUCGGUUCUCUAUAAACUUUUUCUUUACUAUAAAGCCUAGAUUUGAUGAAAACAAAGUAAAGCUCCAUAUAGAGUUCCCGUCAUGAAGAACUUUGGGCUCGGAUUAUGUUGGCUCCAAAAUUAAAUUUUAGUACCGAUAAUGAAAUUUGAUGCUCAAAAUAUAAUACAAACCUUGCAUAUCUAUGAAAAAAUGUUUUUAGAGCGCAGUAGACAAUUUAGAUAAUUUGUUACUAUAUACACUAGUUUUAGAAAUUGAUCAAGGGUGUGGUUUGAAUAGAGUCGAAACAAUCAAAGUAAAAUGCACUUGAAAUAGUGUCGAGAAAUGUGGUUUCAAUACUGAAAAUAUUUAUGAUAACCUUAAAACAAAAUUUUAUCUUAAACUUUAAAAUUUCAAGUUUAAAAAACAAUGUAGAUCGAGCAGGUAUAUGAAAACAUAAAAAACUUGAAAAUUGCCUGUCUAAAAAUGUAUUCCAAUAUGCACUAUUUCCAAAACUUGAAAUCCCUUUUUUUUAUCAUGCCCAUGUAUCUUGAUGUCAAAAUGAUCAAUUUGAGGAUGUUUGAGCUUCGAAACAACAUUUUAUAGUGAAAUUUUUGAGGUGCCCCCUUAUUUGAUUGUUUAGAGCCUCGCACUUAUAUAAACGUUUUCCUUUAGGGAUUGAGAUUUGAAUUUUUUGGAUUAUAUAUAAUGAUAGCCAUUUACUUUUUAUACAAGGUGGUCACAAUUCCUUACAACCAUUUGAUGUGAAAUUUGAUAGCUUAUAUGUGUCACAAAAUUCGAGUAAAUUUCUCUUGAAAUUUGAGCUUGGUCAAUGGAAUAAUUACAGCAACUUAACUUUACAUCAAAUGGUCAAGAUUAUUGUUACCACCUUGUAUUAAAGGUAAAUAAGGUAAGUGCUCUCAUUCUAUAUUUUUUAAUUCUUUUUUUAAUGACGCAUAUCAAAGUCGAGAUGAUCAAUUUGAAAAUUGGUCGAUGUCGGAUCUACCAUUUUUGGUAAACUUUUUGGAGAGAGACGUGUUAAGAAUAAGAUGAAGAAUAGCUUAUAGAAAGAGAACAAUAAAAAGGAGGUUAGAGAGAGAGGGGGGGUCGCCACGCUCCAUCUUGUUGAAAAUAAUAAGCCAUUGGAGACAUAUAUUUUAACGUCAGCGGAUUGCGGCCUCUCCCCACCAAACUAUAGUUAGCAAAUCGCCGUUUAAUCCGGGAUUUUUUUUAAAAAUAGGCGUUUUUAUGGAAACAGUUUUAAAAGGUGACUUAUUGAAAAGGUCGGAAAAAACUCAUGUAUUUUUCUUAAAAACGCUUAAAGCGUAUUUUUUUUUAUAAUACAGUUUAAAUCCGGCCAAAAAACUGCAUCCUUUUUUUACCUAUAAAUUUUUUUUGAAAGAUAUUUUUUUUCCCCGGUUUUGUGUAUUCCAACCAUUGCUACUUUUAUGUUUUUGAAAAAAACAAAAAUAUUAUUUCAAAAAAAACCUAAAAUAUAAAUUUUUAUCCCCACUAUGUUGUUCAAAGCCACAGUUGCAGAUUGAAGGUGUGAAUUUUUUUCCCUUUUUUAAAAAACCUUAAAUAAAUAGAUGCAGAUUUCAGUGUUAUUGUGGAAAAUUAUUGUGUAAAUGAAAUACUAUUUAUAGAAAAUUAUUUUGUAAAGUAAAUCAUCGUGUGAAGAAAAUCAUAUACAUGCAUACUUCUGUGAUUAUUUGUGAUAAUUGUCUUUAUUGAAAUACUGUUUAUGGCACAAAUUAGAGCUCAAAACAUAGUCUUUUACUGAUAAAUGAGAAGCAGAGAGUGUGACUACAUGACAAAGUAAUCAAUAUUUUGCUUUUGAUUAUGUGAUAAACAAUAUAUUGUAAAUUGUAAACUUACAGGAGCAAGCAAUUCUACAAAUAGGAUUUGUCCCAAAACCUAAUAUUUCAGCUCCGCUUGCUGGUUCCCAAGAAAACGGGAAACCCUCUUCCUUUGCUCUCUCUAAAAAUACAGUUAAAGCCUCUUGACAAAUCAGCAUAGUUUAGGGCUCUCUCAAACAACAUCCCAAAUUAGCCUCUCGACAAAUCAGCAUAGUUUAGGGCUCUCUCAAACAACAUCCCAAAUUAGCCUCUCGACAAAUCAGUAGAGUUAGGGCUUUCUCUCAAACAACAUCCCAAAUCAGAAGAAAAGCCCUCUUCAAACUAUUCCAAAUCAGCCUCCCAUCUUCCUUUUCUCUUUUCUCUUUCUAAAAAUCAGAUAGGGCCUCUUCCAUUAAGGUUUGUGAAGCUCAUGACAUCUUCCUUCUUCUCUCUCUAUAAACCCUGGCUAUGAGCCCAGCCCUAUUCUUGUCUCUUCCUUCUUUCUCCUCUCUCUCUAAACCGUAAACAGAGAGCUCUCUUUACG